CCCUUAGAUGUCCUGGGCCGCACGCGCGUUACACUGAUGCAUUCAACGAGCUUAUAACCUUGGCCGAGAGGCCUGGGCAAUCUUGUUAACGUGCAUCGUGAUAGGGAUAGAUUAUUGAAAUUAUUAAUCUUGAACGAGGAAUUCCUAGUAAACGCAGAUCAUCAAUCUGCAUUGAUUACGUCCCUGCCCUUUGUACACACCGCCCGUCGCACCUACCGAUUGGAUGGUCCGGUGAAGCCUCGGGAUUGGCGCGCACCUCGGUGCCGCCGAGAAGUUGGCUAAACCUUACCAUUUAGAGGAAGGUGAAGUCGUAACA
rnacentral:rRNA from 1 species